rnacentral:tRNA from 1 species
AUUCUUUUAGUAUAAUAAGUAUAAUUGACUUCCAAUCAAAAGGUUAAUUAAUUAAAAGAAUA